AGCGAACGCUGGCGGCAGGCCUAACACAUGCAAGUCGAACGAACCUUUCGGGGUUAGUGGCGGACGGGUGAGUGACACGUGGGAACGUGCCUUUAGGUUCGGAAUAACUCAGGGAAACUUGUGCUAAUACCGAAUGUGCCCUUCGGGGGAAAGAUUUAUCGCCUUUAGAGCGGCCCGCGUCUGAUUAGCUAGUUGGUUGAGGUAAUGGCUCACCAAGGCGACGAUCAGUAGCUGGUCUGAGAGGAUGAUCAGCCACAUUGGGACUGAGACACGGCCCAAACUCCUACGGGAGGCAGCAGUGGGGAAUCUUGCGCAAUGGGCGAAAGCCUGACGCAGCCAUGCCGCGUGAAUGAUGAAGGUCUUAGGAUUGUAAAAUUCUUUCACCGGGGACGAUAAUGACGGUACCCGGAGAAGAAGCCCCGGCUAACUUCGUG
rnacentral:rRNA from 1 species